rnacentral:ncRNA from 1 species
AUCUGUAUGGGAUGUAAGGGAAUCCGGUGAGAGUCCGGAACAAUACCCGUUGCUGUAAUCUCUUUCCCGUUACACGGGAAAUGCUUAGUCACCUCAUGCCACUGGUUCGUCCGGGAAGGCGACAUAAGCGGAGAAAGUCAGAAAACCUGCCUGAAUUAGA